rnacentral:lncRNA from 1 species
CUCACUGGGACCUCAGAGUCUCUUCUUGACAAUCUUGGCAAUGACCUAAGCAAUGUCGUGGAUAAGCUGGAACCUGUUCUUCACGAGGGACUUGAGACAGUUGACAAUACUCUUAAAGGCAUCCUUGAGAAACUGAAGGUCGACCUAGGAGUGCUUCAGAAAUCCAGUGCUUGGCAACUGGCCAAGCAGAAGGCCCAGGAAGCUGAGAAAUUGCUGAACAAUGUCAUUUCUAAGCUGCUUCCAACUAACACGGACAUUUUUGGGUUGAAAAUCAGCAACUCCCUCAUCCUGGAUGUCAAAGCUGAACCGAUCGAUGAUGGCAAAGGCCUUAACCUGAGCUUCCCUGUCACCGCGAAUGUCACUGUGGCCGGGCCCAUCAUUGGCCAGAUUAUCAACCUGAAAGCCUCCUUGGACCUCCUGACCGCAGUCACAAUUGAAACUGAUCCCCAGACACACCAGCCUGUUGCCGUCCUGGGAGAAUGCGCCAGUGACCCAACCAGCAUCUCACUUUCCUUGCUGGACAACCAAAAAUGUAUUGAGGCUGGGCACGAUGGCUCCACACCGGUAAUCCCAGCACUUUGGGAGGCUGAGACACAGCCAAAUCAUCAACAAGUUCGUGAAUAGCGUGAUCAACACGCUGAAAAGCACUGUAUCCUCCCUGCUGCAGAAGGAGAUAUGUCCACUGAUCCGCAUCUUCAUCCACUCCCUGGAUGUGAAUGUCAUUCAGCAGGUCGUCGAUAAUCCUCAGCACAAAACCCAGCUGCAAACCCUCAUCUGAAGAGGACGAAUGAGGAGGACCACUGUGGUGCAUGCUGAUUGGUUCCCAGUGGCUUGCCCCACCCCCUUAUAGCAUCUCCCUCCAGGAAGCUGCUGCCACCACCUAACCAGCGUGAAAGCCUGAGUCCCACCAGAAGGACCUUCCCAGAUACCCCUUCUCCUCACAGUCAGAACAGCAGCCUCUACACAUGUUGUCCUGCCCCUGGCAAUAAAGGCCCAUUUCUGCACCCUUCUGUGUGGC